rnacentral:rRNA from 1 species
GUGCCAGCCGCCGCGGUAAAACCAGCACCUCAAGUGGUCAGGAGGAUUAUUGGGCCUAAAGCAUCCGUAGCCUGCUCUGUAAGUUUCCGGUUAAAUCCAUUAGCUUAACUGAUGGGCCGCCGGAAAAACUGCAAAGCUAGGGAGUGGGAGAGGUAGACGGUACUCGGUAGGAAGGGGUAAAAUCCUUUGAUCUAUUGAUGACCACCUGUGGCGAAGGCGGUCUACCAGAACACGUUCGACGGUGAGGGAUGAAAGCUGGGGGAGCAAACCGGAUUAGAUACCCGGGUAGUCCCAGCUGUAAACGAUGCAGACUCGGUGAUGCCCUGGCUUGUGGCCAGUGCAGUGCCGCAGGGAAGCCGUUAAGUUUGCCGCCUGGGAAGUACGUACGCAAGUAUGAAACUUAAAGGAAUUGGCGGGGGAGCACCACAAGGGGUGAAGCCUGCGGUUCAAUUGGAGUCAACGCCAGAAAUCUUACCCGAGGAGACAGCAGAAUGAAGGUCAAGCUGGAGACUUUACCAGACAAGCUGAGAAGUGGUGCAUGGCCGUCGCCAGCUCGUGCCGCGAGAUGUCCUGUUAAGUCAGGUAACGAGCGAGAUCCCUGCCUCUAGUUGCCACCAUUACUCUCAGGAGUAGUGGGGCGAAUUAGCGGGACCGCCACAGUUAAUGUGGAGGAAGGAAGGGGCCACGGCAGGUCAGUAUGCCCUGAAACCUUGGGGCCACACGCGGGCUGCAAUGAUAGUGACAAUGAGUUCCUAAACCGAAAGGUGGAGGCAAUCUUCAAACGCUAUCACAGUUAUGAUUGAGGGCUGCAACUCGCCCUCAUGAAUAUGGAAUCCCUAGUAACUGCGUGUCAUUACCGCGCGGUGAAUACGUCCCUGCUCCUUGUACACACCGCCCGUC